GCCAACCACAAGUCAAAAUCAGAUCAACAGACAGGGACAUCGGCCUUCUCUUGGGAAUAUGCCAGAUAUGCCAUAACAAGAAAAAAUGGUGUUUUGCCCCUGCGGUUGUGAAGAGGAUGCUGUGGAGGUGGCUGCAUGAACGUGUCACACAGACAUUGGCUAAACUACUCGGCUUCUACACUUGCCCUCAGAGUUCACAUAUGGUUAAGUGCACAGGUGGCCAGCCAGGUUCAGACUGAUACUGGUAACAAGAGGAAAACAUGCUGAUUGGUAAGUGAGAUCCCUGCUAAAAAAAAAUCCACACAGCACAACAAGUAAGCCUAGUUUGUGGUAUCAAAUGUAAAAUGUAAGUUUCAUCAAAAAGUUGUAGAACACAUCUGAAUAAAUUGCAGGUCA